rnacentral:rRNA from 1 species
GACGAACGCUGGCGGCGUGCUUAACACAUGCAAGUCGAACGGUGAAAGCGGAGCUUGCUCCGCUGGAUCAGUGGCGAACGGGUGAGUAACACGUGGGCAACCUGCCCCUCACUUCGGGAUAACUCCGGGAAACCGGGGCUAAUACCGGAUAUGACCUCCUUGGGCAUCCUUGGAGGUGGAAAGUUUUUCGGUGAGGGAUGGGCCCGCGGCCUAUCAGCUUGUUGGUGGGGUAGUGGCUCCCCAAGGCGACGACGGGUAGCCGGCCUGAGAGGGCGACCGGGCACACUGGGCCUGGGGCACGGCCCAGACUCCUACGGGAGGCAGCAGUGGGGAAUAUUGCGCAAUGGGCGAAAGCCUGACGCAGCAGCGCCGCGUGCGGGAUGACGGCCUUCGGGUUGUAAACCGCUUUCAGCAGGGAAGAAGCCGCAAGGUGACGGUACCUGCAGAAGAAGCACCGGCUAACUACGUGCCAGCCGCCGCAGUAA